GCCCUGAUGGUCUAGCGGUAUGAUUCUCCCUUAGGGUUGUCAAUGACGACUCAGAAUGGGAGAGGUCCCAGGUUCGAUCCCUGGUUAGGGCC